UUGCUUCAGCAGCACAUAUACUAAUAUUGGAACGAUACAGAGAAAAUUAGCAGGGCCCCUGCACAAAGAUGACAUGAAAAUUUUUGAAGCAUUCCAUAUUUUU